rnacentral:rRNA from 1 species
UACGAAGGGGGCUAGCGUUGCUCGGAAUCACUGGGCGUAAAGCGCACGUAGGCGGAUUGCUAAGUCAGGGGUGAAAUCCUGGAGCUCAACUCCAGUACUGCCCUUGAUACUGGCGGUCUCGAGUCCGGGAGAGGUGAGUGGAACUGCGAGUGUAGAGGUGAAAUUCGUAGAUAUUCGCAAGAACACCAGUGGCGAAGGCGGCUCACUGGCCCGGUACUGACGCUGAGGUGCGAAAGCGUGGGGAGCAAACAGG